UUUAUUUUUAAAAAUUUUUUAUUUAUUUAUGAUAAUCACAGAGAGGAGAGAGAGAGAGAGAGAGAGAGAGGCAGAGACAUAGGCAGAGGGAGAAGCAGGCUCCAUGCACCGGGAGCCCGACGUGGGAUUCGAUCCCGGGUCUCCAGGAUCGCGCCCUGGGCCAAAGGCAGGCGCUAAACUGCUGCACCACCCAGGGAUCCUUCUUUCUUUAGACCUACAAAGAAGUACGUACAGUUGACUUCACCAAAUGAUUAAUUCCCCUUUCCCAUAUUUAGAAAUCCCUUAUGAUCCCUCAGACAGUUCCUUCUGGAGCAAAUCUCCUUCCUUCCCCCAGCCAGCCCCAGUGGGUUCACCUUUACAGGCUCUGGGACUAGGACAGGAGGUAAGACAUGUGACUGUUUCUUCACUGGGAGCUUCUAGUUUGGGUUACUCUGUAUGUAGAUUUACUUGCCUCAGACUGGAGCUGAACAGAAAAAUGGCUUAGGGUUCCUGCAAAAGAAUGAUUGACAACUAAGCCUCUCAUCAUGAGCUAAGGUUUCAGCACAUAUUUUUCAGUAACCACCAGUAAGUCCACAAGACUUCCUACUGGCUUAAAACCUACUUGAUAAAUUUCUCACCGUUGUCACCUCAGCAAGACAAGCUCACUGCUCAGAAAAUACCUUUCAGUCACGGUGAUCAGACUGGGGCGGUAUUGAAUUCAUCACUGGUGAGGGGGAGCUUGUUGCAAGUGGUUCAGAAUGGCCAGACAGAACUUUGGAGUAAACCAGUAAUGUCUUCUUACAACUACCAAGACCAAAGUGCCACCAAACACCCCCACCCCCACCCAAUUUAUAGCAACCAAAUAAUAGGGUUAUAAAGGCAUUUACCUCAAAUCAUUCUUGAGUCCCACACAAGGUACUGGACCUGAUACAAAUAAGGGAAUCAGUAAUGCUUACCUCUAGCAAUAAAAAUUCUUCCCACUUAAACUAUCAUUCCUAGGAAAGUCAGAAUUCCGAGUCUCAACAGCAAGUUAUCAGCCGAACGAGAUUCCACAUAAGUCAUCAUGGAUUUAGGCUCCCAAAAGGGUACUUUUCUGCCCAAUGUAUUUC
rnacentral:lncRNA from 1 species